rnacentral:snRNA from 1 species
AUCUCUUCUUGGCCUUUUUGGCUAAGAUCAAGUGUGGUAUCUACUCUCUUAAAAUUUUCAGUGUACAAAAAUUAUUGUCAACUAUAGGAACACCAUUGUGCUGUGUUAUCCCUAGAGCUUAUUCAACCUACUUAACUGAAAUACCCUGCUCAGUCAUAGUAUCUUUU